CACAUCAUUUAAAAGCAAAAUAAAAAUCAAAUAAAAACAAACUCCAAACAUAAACAUGGCGUCUUUAACAUCUGAAGACGAGAGUUCCGAUGAUGGUUAUUCAAUAUCCUCUUCAAAUUCGACCGAUUAUACAACAUUCGGUCAAAAUAGCGAUAAUUGGAGUUUUUCUUCGACAGAACAAAAUGAUAUUUUCACUGGUGCAAAAAGACGAAAUUUGGUUUUAAACAUCCGGAGCCGACAGCUAUAUGGUCGUUUUACCAAACACUCAAGAGCCAGAGAUGAAAGAAUAUUCAAUAAUAUUCACCACCGCUGCCGAAAAUCACUAAGUGCUUUGCUCAGUUCUCACAACUCAAGGAAUCAAAUUUUUAUGGGCUUUACCCUUUGUGGCCAGUACUUUCUGAGUUAUACAGAAACCCAAAACCAAGGUAAUCAACCACAUACAGGCCGAUUAUUUCUUUUUGAUGCAUCUGAGUACAAGUAUGAACUUCACAUAUGGAGAUUUGUACCAGGUAAAAAGUUACAAUUGGUCUCGAAGCAUAGGAUAUUUAACCAUUUGAAAUGUGGCUCAGUACUGGAUAAAAUUAUGUUUAUGCAGUUUCCUAAUGAUGUGCAUAAAAUAGUUUGUUACGGACAUGACGAAGCUAGCAGUCCAGAUUUAUUACACAUCAGUAUAAUAACCAUACCAUCACAAAGAAGUUGUGUACAUUGUGGAGAUCCAUUACAUUUGGUUCGAGAUUCAGGGCAUAAGCCGUUAUGCAUCAAACAUGGAUUUGUGGUUGAUUAUAUGUUCGCCUUAAGUGAACCUGCUCCGGUUUUCAACCCCCGUAUUUCACUCAGCUAUCCAGAUUAUUUGGUAGUAAACACCGGUCAUCACAUCCAUAUCCUGAAUGUUUCCAUUCAAAAUCCUAAUCAGCCCAAUCAAAACGUCUCAGGUCAAAGCAAUUCCUCAUUAUUGUCAAGUUUUCAUAUAAAAGAUGAAGAGCCUGUAAAAUUUAGCAACUUUUUUUUCAAUAACGAUGCUUUUAGUGAAGCAUCUGAGACUGCUAGUGAUCAUUGUGGGGCGGUUGACGCAAUUUUGGACAAUUUUAGUGAAUAUGAACUGGAUUCCGCAGAGUCAGGUAGUAAGCCUUUUCAUGAAUUAAAUAUUAGCUGUGAACCUUUAAAUGUAACUGGUAAAAGUUACCAUAAUACUCUCGUUCAGCAACACAUUUUCGAUCCCCGGUUAAAAAGGUUACAACAAAAUAGUUCUAAGGAAUAUGUAUUUUCGAUGCCUCAGGCUUCUAUGCCGCAAAAACCUCCCGAAAAAAGUAAAGUAGUCGACAAAAAAAUCGCCGAAAAGGCCUACGAGUUCAUUGAAGAAAACGAAAAAUAUGAAAAAAUCAGCCUGUUUCGUAAAAAACGCCUCGCAGAUAAAAAGUACGAGUUUUCAGAGGAUAACACUGAAAACAUUGUUCCUUUUCAUAUAUUAAGACGUGAAAGACGAUACCGUUUGUAUCGAUCUCAACGCACCGAACUGAAUAGUUUGUUCCUUAGUCCUUGCUCGCCUAUGCAAAGUCCCGGACAGUUUUCCCCUAGUAGUGGAGGGACUCCGCGCCAUAUUUAUUGUACCUCAUCUAUAAUACGUAGCUCUCCUUACCAUUACUCCCGUUCCUCUCCAGUGAGUCCGAAGGAUACGAGGAAGAUUAAUGUAUAUUCUCCUAGUCUGGAAAGUGAUUUUUCUGACUCGGAUAGUAGACUUGUGGUUAUGAGAACUGCUACGCCCCAUAGUGAUUCGGGUCGUUGCAAUGCAACAACAGGGCUACUAAUACUGGAUCCUAAAGGGGAACCGCCAGUAUCCACCCCAAAGUGGAUAACAAAAGUUGUAAGACGAUAUUCAAACGGUGAUUUUGAAAAUAGUUCCUUAUUGUCCGGACAAAGUCGAGAUGACUAUAAUAUCCCGAUAGAAGUACCCCUUCUAGUCCAGGGUUUGACUGAGCAACACUUUGAAAUAGUACCUGAUUACAUCACUACAACGAAUCUGACUGAUCAUCGGUCUAAUGGUGGUGAACGCCAUAUAUUAGUAACACAACGUUCGAUGGAUUGCGAACAGUUUGUGCAGCGACGAGCCCAAGCGCUUUGUUCAGAAUGCAAUUUAGAGUUUAUGCAUUGUGCGGAUUAUGAUAUUAAGGUUAUUUAUGUAUGCCCAAUAAGCGGCGAGAUCCUUUGCAAAGCGCUGAUCAAACUAGGAGCCCUAAAACGGUCUGACCCCAACGCCAUCGUCGAAAAUUACUACGCACAUUUUCUCUUCACAUGGAACAUAGAGACCGACGAUUUUGAUAUUAUAGAUUCCUCCGCCAAAGACGAAAAACUUCUGGCAGGCAACAUCCCUCCUACGACCGGUUCGAUAAAUGUUCCAGAAAUCCAUUGCAGUGGCGUAUGGGUUCUGUCUUAUGAUACUUCCAAACCGUCAAAGGCGUAUCUUAGGGAUCCAAAGGAGCAUUUUGAAGUGUUUUUGGGUACUCCAGUGAUUAACCAUCCAUAUAUUUUUUCCAGAUAAGAAGACUAUUUUAAAUAAAUCCAGUCAUAGUUGUGCUAUUGUGCUACGUUCUAAUGGUUUGUAAAUGGAAGUUUUAUCGAAAAUUCUUUCAUGAAGUGCGAGGUAAGUGGUUGUUUUUUGAUCUUAUAUUAAUUAGUAGAUUAAUUUUUGUCACCAUUUGAUGAUGUAUUUGAGAAAAAAAUUACCGCUCAAGUUUCGAUACAUAUAUUACCAUCCUCAGGGCUCUAAAAAAAAUAUUCAUUAUGGAUAAAUAUAACUAAACAGUAUUAAAAACGAAAAAUUUUAUAGUUUUUUUUGAAAUUAUUGAUUUUAUUGGAAUUGUUUAAGAGGGAAAUAAACUCUUGAACAGAUUUAAAAUCUCCUUGGUUAAAGAUUUGAACAAAUUUACUGUUCAAGGCAAGAAAAAAAGAAAAAACAGGAUGCCAGAGUAAAACAAACUUGUGAAAUUUAUAAAUUUAAAUAAGAGUAAGAAAAACAAUAAAAAUUCAAAAUGUGACAAUCAGUCCGUUGCAUUUAUUUAAAAACUUCUUUAUUUACACAUUGAGACAAAAAAGGUUUUAUAAAAGAGAUUCAAGAUAAAAAUAUUUCAAUUAAAUAAAAUACAGAUAUUGAGUCAAAGGUAUUCGUUGUUAAACUGCCAUUUAAAGAAAUAUUAAAAAAGCUAUGAAUUUUAGCCAUAUGAACAAAAAAAGUACACAAACAAAAUAAUUAACUUUUUCAAGCUUUCCUUUAUCUAAUCAGCGUCAUUAUCUAGUUUUUCGUCCCCCACUUCGUCAAUUGCUGUAGCAGAGGUCUUUAAAUUAUUGUAAGAACCAUGAAAAAAGUUCAAUAAGAUCUGCUUUCUUCUUUUUUUCUAUUGGGCGUCAUAAUGGAUAAAGCAUAUUCAAAUUUUCAACUGGUGCAACGUUUUGCUACACUCGCUGUGUUAAAUGCGACAAUCUUUGAGUUUGAAUACUUAAAGUCAAAUUGGUGUUUAGUGUCAUUCGAAAAUUUAAUCCAUUGCAUUUUUAUCCAUUCUACCUUAGACCCAUCUGGAGUAAUUUUUCUAUUAGUAAUAGCAUCCCCCAGUUUCUUGGUAGAAAAAAAAUAAUUUUUUGUCAUUUCAACUAUUUGAAAUGGCCUUCGUUUCCCUUAAGAAAUGGGGAAGCUCUUUUAUUUUUUUGCUCGAUUUUUCGACAUAAUCAAAAUCAACAGAUGACGUAAUUUACCUACACUGGUGGCCAAAAGUAGAUUGACAACUACUUAUUUUUCAAAUUUGUUUAUAUCACAGUUUAGGAAAUGAUAAAUUAGGUGGGACAGUACCUGAUUAAUAAACAACGGAGCCUAUUUGUAAUGUUUAAUUAUAUUUAACCUAUUUAUUCGUAAUACCCAAUUUUAUUUAAAAAAAAAUUAAAAAACUAAACAAUUUUCAAGUGGCCAAAAUUAAAUUGACAAUUUCCAAAGCUUACUAAAAUAAAAAUAAGUAUAGAAAAUUUAAAGGGUUUUAUUCAAUAAUGCGUUGCAUAGCCUCUAUUUCUUCUCACUUCCACCAACCUUUUGGGCAUUGACCUAAUUAAAUUGUCAAUAUAGGAUGUAACAAUGGAUAUCCAGCAUGCCUUCAAAGCUUCAAAAAGUUCUUGUUUAUUUUUGAAAUGUUUACAUCGGAUGUGACGAUCAAUGUAAUCCCAAAUGUUCUUGAUCGGAUUUAGGUCCGGUGACUGUGACGGCCAUUUGAUAACAUCAAUUUUUUCUUGGGUCAACCAUUGCUUAACGACCUUGGAUGCGUGAAGCGAUCCAUCGUGCCUUCUAUCAAGUGUAGUGGACCCGUCCCAUAGCCCGAAAACACCCCCACACCAUCACGGAACCACCUCCAUACUUGACUAUGGACACCGUAUAUUUGGGAUCAUACCUUUGGUUCACAGGACGCCUAACAAUAUCUUUUGCCAUCGACUUUGCCAGUGACUAUGUUCUCGAGCAAAGCUCAAUCGCGCCCGUACGUUUUUUAAACUUAGCAGUGGUUUCUUUGCAGGGCGUCUUGUUUUUAAAUCACUAUAUUGAAGUCUCCUUCUAAUGGUACGACAACUAACUGAACCGACACCUUUUUCUUCCAAAUGCAGCUUGAUUUCUUUUGAAGUUGCGAAUGAGUCAAGUUUUGCUAUUUUCAAAAUUAAUUUGUCAACUCGACUAGUGGUCUUCUUUGGUCGGCCAGUUUUUUUUAGAGGAACAACACUUCCACGGAGAUUAACAUUUUUUUAUUAUUUGACUUACUGUUGCCCUCAAAAGAGAAGUUUUUCGAGCAAUAUCCGCCUGUUUAACCCCUUUCCGGUAAUCGUUGGUUAUUCGCAUCUUAAUAUCGAUCGAUAAAGUUAUACCACGUGGCAUUGUGAAUAUUUUUCAAAACUAAUAGUAAGGAAAGUCAAAUCAACAGAAACCAACGCAUAAAACGAGACUGAAUAAAUAUGUUGUUUGUCAAUCCAAUUUUGGCCACCUAGUAGUCAAACAAAAUUAUUGGAAUUUGAUAAAAAAAAUAUUGAGAAAAAGUGCAAGCAAUAAAAAUCUAUGGAAUUUGUUUCUUCAAACUAUCUUGUUUACAUUCCUGGACACUAAUAAGCUCAACCGGUUUUUCCUUUGCUUCAGAUAAAAUAUAUCCAUAAAAAUGGAAUUUUUCAAUCUACUUUUGGCCACCAGUGUAUGUGCGGUUCAAGUACAUAUAUUUUUUUUAAUAAUAGAAUAAAAAUACGGAAAAUAAUAUUGUUGUUUCACAUUUAUUACCUUAUACAGGUAGCAAUAAAAGAAAAUUACCUUAAAUGUUAAAAUUUGUUGAGGAAUUUAUGUCUGAAUUUAUAAAUAUCCUCCUAACCUUACUUAAAACGCAACUCCAACCUUCGGCUUUGUUUUGCAAAUUCGUCAAUAACAUUGUCGUAAAAAUUUGCUUCUUCGAAAAGUUCCUGAAGUAGUUCUUGUUCAAUUCUGCUGAUGUACUUGUCACAGGUAUAGUAAGUGAAAGUUCACAAAGCUUGAGCGUUUCGAGGCAAGCAAGAUGUAGUCCAGACUUUUUUAUUGAUUUUAAUAAGUCACUAACCAUAUUUUUAUUUAGGCCUUCUGAAGUAUUGUAUAUAACAAACAGUUCAAAACGCAACGCGGGAAAGUCAAAAAAGUUAGGAUAAUUUUGUCUUAAUGAAUCAAAAGCUUCUUCUGAAAUUAUGUUAUUUUCUUUGAAGUUGACAAGCUCUAGAAAUUUUAGACUUUUAAAGUUAUUAAAUCUGUCGGCCAUGUGAGCCGAAAUAUUGUCGAUAUUUUCGUAAAACAGUUUACGAGCUUCAGUUUUUUUAUCUAUUUUCUGAUUGUGGAUGGUGUCUUGAUCUAUGGUACCUUCAGUUCGUGUUCUUUUUCUUUCUGGUUCUCUAGAUAACAUUUUUAAAGUUUCGAAUCUAUGCCAAAAUUCAUUAAAUUGUUCCCUUUUAGAUAAAACUAUUGACUUGAAUUACUGAAUGUUUCUUACACAAAAAUUGAUAUCACUCAUUUUACUCUGUAAAACGUUAAAUAAAUUAUUACAGAAUGCAAAUAUUUAAGAGAUUAUGAGUAACAGAAGAUUAAAAUCAGUUUCUUUUAGUAACAUGUAUAAAUAUCCGGUAGAACAAACCACCGUUUCAUUAUCCCAAUCCUGUUGUUGCAUCACCAAAUUUAGUCUAUGUGCCAUACAAUGAAUAAAAAGGGCUGAUGGGUAUACUUCUCUAGCUUUGGCUUGUAAACCCCCUAAUUGAUCUGCCACAACUGCUGCUCCAUCAUAGCUUUGACCUACUAAUUUAGAACCACAAGCAAGAUCUUCAAUAGUUAAUUGCACAAUGCCUUUCAGAGCUAAAGCUGUUCGUGGCAUUGAGGCAUCAAAAAAACCAAGAAAUAUUUCUUUUAUUUCGCCUUGUUUUAUCACAUAGCGGAUAAUCUUCGAUAGAUGGCUCGUAUUAGCUAUCAUCUAAAAAAAGAGCAACAAACAAUGCUUUGUUUAUCUCAUUUUUAAUUUUUUUUUUGGAUAACUUCCCCCACACUUAAAAUAAGGUCGUUUUGAAUCAAGUUGGACGUUCCUUUAAAUUUUGUUGAUUUUUCCAAAUGGAGUCCUAACCCUUUGGAACCCAAUUUUAUUUUUAAUGAUUUUAAGGAUGUUUUUGCGAGUUAUGGUAUUUUAAGAGAUCAUUUGACAAUAUAUACUAGUUAAAAUUUAAAAAAAUAUAUGCAGGGAGAGCAAAAAAUUGUGGGACAAAUAUAUCCCAGCGGGAUCUUUAGGUGGGUUAUAAAUAUCCCUAGGGGCCAAAAAAACACAUUUUUCUAUUUCAACAUUUUUAUUUUUUUUAUUCACAAAAAGACAACCCGCAAAGGUAAGUAUUUUAGGACGAAUGAUAAAGCGCAAAACAAUGCUUGCACAACCCUACAUCGCACAUUGCACAAAUAGUAGUGGUUCUAUGUUCUUUUUUCUGAAGAGCGCAACUAGCACAUCUUCGCCGUUUCGAUGUUUCGUACGAUGUACGACGUAAGUCAUUAAAUAUUACCCAGCUGUUAACAAUAGCAAUCAUCAAAAGUCGAUAAAAUACUUUUUUCCACCAUUUGCAUGAUUUCUGCCAAAGUCAUACACACCACUCAUCUGAUCAGCCAGAUCCACACCUACCAUGAUUUCAUUGUAGUAUGCAAUAGCAGUGAGACAUGGUACGUCAACUCUCUGCCCAGUCUUGUCUUUUCUCUUCACACAGGUCAUAUCAGGGGUAUGGCAGUUACUUAAAAGAAUAACCUGCUUUGUAUCUUGCCAUUUGAUCGCAUUAGUUUGUUUGAUUUGAUAAAAACUCGCAUUCACCCCUAGACAUUUUUCGUUUUUCGAUGAAUUUUUUUCGGCAUGUCUUCUUUUGGAAUAAUGGCUGUUCCCACAGCUGGGUAUUAGAGGGAAUCCAUCAAACGGACUGAUGUAAAAAAUCGAUCAAAGGCCAGGGGCCUGUUUCAUAAAAAAUAUUAGUCCAAUAUUAUUGGCAAAAAUCUAGUAAUAUUAGUUUACAUUAUCAAUUUAUGUUUCAUAAACUUAUUAGAUAAUAUUAUUAAUUAUUAGCGUAUUGGUUAAUAAAUUAGUACAUUUUAUUAGGAUAAUUUGAGAACUGUUUCAUAAAUACCUAGACUUCAUAAAUUUUUUUAAUAAAAUUGAUGUAUUUUUAUGAGUGUUUUUAGCAUAAUAAUGUGAGUUAGAAUAAUAGAGUUAAUUUGCAAAAGUUUACAAAAUGGGCGAUUCUGAAUCAAGUGACGAGGAAGAGAGAGUUUUUGUGAGAAGACCAAGAAUAUUUAGGGAACGAAUUUCCUAUUUUUAUAUAGAAGAUACUUAUGAAUUUAAUGAACGAUUUAGGUUACCUAGUGCGAAGUUCUACGUAAUUUUAAACAGAAUAAAACAACAACUAGCCCACGAUACAAGGCGAAAUUACGCGUUAACGCCGAAACAGCAACUAAUGGUUGCUUUACAUUGGCUUGGAAGUGGCAUGCAGUAUCACAGUGCAGGAGAUAUGCAUGGCAUCUCAAAAGCUACAGUAUGCCGUAUAGUUCACAAAGUUGUUCUAUCUAUUAACAGAACCAUGCUUAGAGAAACCGUUUGUUGGCCCGAUGAUAUUGGAAGAGUUAUGUAUCAAUUUAAACAAAUUGCUGGUAUGCCGCUUGUUUGUGGAGCAGUUGAUGGAACACUUAUUAAAGUUGAUGCACCUAGUUUACAUGAACCAGCUUUUGUUGAUCGCCAUGGAAACCACUCUUUAAAUAUUAUGCUUGUUUGUGGUCCUUCGUUAAAAUUUUACUACGUUUCCGCUAACUGGCCUGGUAGCGUAAGUGAUGCGAGAGUUCUGCGAACUAGUUCAUUAUUCCAAAGAAUGGAAAACGGUUGGCGACCAUUUCCAGGAUCUGUAUUGCUGGGAGACUCCAUUUAUCCACUUAAAUCAUGGCUUAUUCCACCUGUUUUACGAAAUGACGGUGACGCUUCGCAAAUGCGAUUUCUAAGAGCUCAUAAAACGACUCGCAGAGUAGUUGAAUGUGCUAUAGGCAUUUUAAAAGAAAAAUUUCCUUGCCUCAAUUAUGUUCGACUGAGAAAUACAGUGUUUGCUUGCGAAAUGAUAAAAUGUUGCGUCACUCUUUGCAACAUAUCAAAAGCAGAUAACGAACAAUAUAACAUAGAGGAGGAAGAAAAUGCCAAUGAUGACAACAUAGAUGCAGAAGAACAAGAUGAAAUAGAUAUAGGAGCUGAGGAGAAACUUAACUAUUUUUACAAUUAUUUUCGUAAUAAUUAAUUAAAAUAUAGGACAAUAAAAGAAAGGUUAGGACGUAUAAAAGAAACUACAAUAUAUUUUUUUAAAUGCAAAA
rnacentral:misc_RNA from 1 species